UACGGGGGGGGUAAGCGUUGUUCGGAAUUACUGGGCGUAAAGGGCUCGUAGGCGGCCAACUAAGUCAUACGUGAAAUCCCUCAGCUUAACUGGGGAACUGCGCGUGAUACUGGAUGGCUUGGAUUUGGGAGAGGGAUGCGGAAUUCCAGGUGUAGCGGUGAAAUGCGUAGAUAUCUGGAGGAACACCGGUGGCGAAGGCGGCGUCCUGGACCAAUAUUGACGCUGAGGAGCGAAAGCUAGGGGAGCAAACGGG
rnacentral:rRNA from 1 species